rnacentral:rRNA from 1 species
AUUGAACGCUGGCGGCAGGCCUAACACAUGCAAGUCGAACGAGUGGCGGACGGGUGAGUAAUGUCUGGGAAACUGCCUGAUGGAGGGGGAUAACUACUGGAAACGGUAGCUAAUACCGCAUACCAUCGGAUGUGCCCAGAUGGGAUUAGCUAGUAGGUGGGGUAAAGGCUCACCUAGGCGACGAUCCCUAGCUGGUCGGAGGGGAUGACCAGCCACACUGGAACUGAGACACGGUCCAGACUCCUACGGGAGGCAGAAGGGGGGAAUAUUGCACAUGGGGCGAAAGCCGGAUGCAGACAUGCCGCGUGGAUGAGGAGGGCUUUCGGGUUGUAAAGUACUUUCAGCGGGGAGGCGUUACCCGAAGAGGAAGCACCGGCUAACUCCGUGCCAGCAGCCGCGGUAAUUC